rnacentral:lncRNA from 1 species
CUGACUUCCACGUGCCUCUAUCACGGCCAGAGUAGGAUGGGCACAGAGCCUGAGUUGUGUCAGACCCUCAGUUGUGUGAAACUUACCCCGUGACCAGGCUACAUAUAGACAGAUGUGGAGACGCAGGUGAAGUCUGACUUGGCCCAGGUCCCAUAGAGAAAAGUAACACAGGAUAAAACAUAACUCUGGGCGACCCGCUCCACGUCAAUGCUCACACUACACGCCCCUCGAGGGCGUUAAGGAAAGCAGGGAGAGUGACAGGGCCCUUACCGCGGGACAUCAGCCUUGCUGGGGUGGGGGCGACACUGACUGCGUCCCUCAGAGGGAGAUGAGACCCUGCUUCCCGCCUCCUCCUCCACACCCCCACAACGGGGAAAUGCAAAGAGAGACACCCAGAUGGUCACGCUGCUCUCGUCGGCCACCAGGCUCACCACACAAGCACUCUUACAAAUACCAGCUGAGUCCACCUGUGGAGCAUGAUGAAGAUGACAAAGAGAGAUUUUGGAAAAGGGUCCCAAAGUCUAGAAUGGAAUCUGGAGAUGGGUGUAGGAGCACAAAUGAUGCAGACCAGAGAAAAACAGCGUGAGGGCUGGGCGACAGCUGCUCCUGUUCACUGUGAAAUCUGCCGGAGUCCAGACACCGCUCCCCAAUUUCGAGCUACAGUGACGGUACCACCAGAUUGGUUAACUCAUCCAAAGGACGGUAUAAACUGAUCCAGAAAGAGCAGACCUGUCAAAAUAUUUGUGUAAGCCCAACAACUCCAAACUGUGUGUUUUUAUUUUGCUUUGUUUUGUUUUUGAGGAAGAUUAGCCCUGAGCUAACAUCUUCUGCCAAUCCUCCUCUUCUUUCUGAGGAAGACUGGCCCUCAGCUGACAUCUGUGCCCAUCUUCUUCUACUUUAUACAUGGGAUGCCUACCACAGCAUGGCGUGCCAAGCGGUGCCAUGUCCGCACCUGGGAUCCGAACCUGUGAACCCCGGGCCACCGAGAAGCGGAACGUGUGAACUUAAGUGCUGAGCCCCCAGGCCAGCCUCAAACUGAGAAUUAAUAUGGGUUUUUCCAACUCCAUUUGCUGUGCAAGAUCCCAUAAUUAGCCUUCCAACAAUGGUCAUUUUGGUUGGAGUUAAAUAAAAGAAACAGAAUUCUGGUAUGGUAUCA